rnacentral:ribozyme from 12 species
UGACAAAAAAACAUCAACAAUGACACCGACAACAAAAACGACAUAGAUAGAGACAAAAGGAAAACAUGCACGCUGGUCCCCCCUUUUCUUUCUGCUUGUUUGUUUGUUCUUGUUGUUUGUUCUUGUUUAGCUGCUCCCUUCUCCU